AGAACCAUAGUAUAACGGUUAGUACGCGUGGCUUUGAACCACGAAGCCAGGGUUCGAAUCCCUGUGGUUCUA
rnacentral:tRNA from 1 species